UCACUCUUUGAUCCAGACAUGUGUAUGCAAAAGAAGAAUUAAAAAUCAAAGUUUCUCGUUUUAGUUGGUACCUAACGACACAUACUUAUUCAUAAUACCUUCUCACUGUGAAGUCUCUGAAGCUCAUUCUGAAAUUUUAUGUAUUUGCCCUUGUACCACGCGGAAUUGCUUAACCCGCUCUUCUUUCCUUAACUGCAUCUCUCGGAGCGCUGGGGUUAUAGAAUUUAGCUGCUCCUUCAGUGUUCCUGCCAUUUUCUCCGGCUGUCAUGAAUGAAAAGCAACAAGAAUGCGGCCUAUCUUACCCGUCCGGGAAGUGAUCUUUCUCCAAGAGACAGAAGAAGAUGAGUAAAUUCAGCCUCAGAUUCUGCAAGCUGCUGAUGUAGUCGAGCGCGUGAAAUAUUCGCAGUAUCAACUUUCCUUCGGUAAACUUCGAGGCACUCCUGCUCAAGUUCCAGCAGAACCUUUUCCCUCUCAAAUUGGUCUUCUCCUACUUCAUCCCAUAUGAUCUGCCAGAAUUAAUUCAGAAGUUGUCAAUGAGAUUCACAUCCGGAUCCAAAUUCGGGCUUUUUAAGAUCUGGAAUGAAAUGGGAUUCAACCGAACUCGAGUCAAAAACUGGAUUCGGGUCGGAUACAGCAUUCGCACGUGUGAAUUUGGGUCGGGCCCAAUUAAAUUAAUCCGAACACACUGUUGACAGCGCCCACAUCAUGAGGUCCACCCACGGAAGCAAAUACAAAUUUCCGGUUAUAACAACUCAUUUCUCUACAAUUUAUUCUCACUACAAAUAAAAAGCUAUUGCAAACACUGCUUCCAUCUAUCUAAUAAGGUCCUUAAAUCAGCGGAUAGCAGAAAGGGAUGUGCCCUCCAGACCAGCCAGCUUGGGCAUGCAGC